UACGUAGGGGGGCUAGCGUUGUCCGGAAUCAUUGGGCGUAAAGAGCGUGUAGGCGGCCCGGUAAGUCCGCUGUGAAAGUCGGGGGGCUCAACCCUCGAAUGCCGGUGGAUACUGUCGGGCUAGAGUGCGGAAGAGGCGAGUGGAAUUCCCGGUGUAGCAGUGAAAUGCGUAGAGAUCGGGAGGAACAUCAGUUGCGAAGGCGGCUCUCUGGACCAGUACUGACGCUGAGGCACGAAAGCGUGGGGAGCAAACAGG
rnacentral:rRNA from 1 species